UCAGAUGUGGAGAUCUACACUUCAGCCUCC
rnacentral:piRNA from 1 species